ACGACCCGGUCUGACCCAACCCGAAUCCAGAUUAUCUAUUUAGACCCAUUCACUGCCCACAGGCCGCAGCUGCAGCCCAAAGGGAAAUGGCUCCAACAAUCGGUUACCCACUUUUCCGUGGGGAGUCCUUAAGCCCAUAUUCCAUAAGCCAUUCACUGCCUAGGCUAGCCAGAGGCCCAUAAGGACUAUAGAAGAAUUCUCCCAUAAGGACUAUAGGCCCAUAUCUCCCUCGAAAGCUCCAAGAUUUCUUCCGCAUCAAAGCCAUUCCUCCCCAGAUCAUCACCUCGGAUCUUCUUCCUCUACUUUUCCCCAACCUUCGACUGGCGCCGGCCCUGUUUUCAUUAACCGAGGCUUGGAGCGACUAGCUUCCCCACUCCAAAACCGAAUGCAGCUUCGUCUCAAGCCAAGUAAUCACCGAACCUCCACUCCUCUCUCUCUCUCUCUCUCUACUACUNNNNNNNNNNNNNNNNNNNNUCCUCUCUCUCUCUCUCUCUCUAAUCCCUUCUCCCUAGUUCUUCCCCGUCUUCUCUUGGGUGGCCUGUGAUUGCCGCUUCCGUUGCAUCCCACCGCACAGUGGUGGCAGAUCGCGAGAACAAUCCCAAGCCGCAACUUUGGUCCGAGACAAAACAAUUCCCUGUCUUAGCAGAUCCAAGACUUCCAGCCUCUUUUUCGCUCCUAUGGCUGCUCAUCUCACCGGCAUUGUGGGAGGAUCAAGCUGCUCGUUUGGAGGCUGGAUUGAACCCCUUGCUUUCGUUGUCGUUCUUGGCCUAGACUCCUGUUUGGGCCUUGAGACCACUUUGUUUCAUCUUCCUUUCUCCCCCUGUUCUCCCGACUCCACUGACCUUAUCGUCGUCUCUAUGGCCCAUGAGGACUAUAGAAGAAAUCUUUUAGCCAGAAACAGACUUCUAGUGGGAUAAACUACUAUAGAAAAAAUGAAA
rnacentral:lncRNA from 1 species